rnacentral:rRNA from 1 species
UACGUAGGGUGCAAGCGUUAAUCGGAAUUACUGGGCGUAAAGCGUGCGCAGGCGGCUUUGUAAGACAGAUGUGAAAUCCCCGGGCUCAACCUGGGAACUGCAUUUGUGACUGCAUUGCUGGAGUGCGGCAGAGGGGGAUGGAAUUCCGCGUGUAGCAGUGAAAUGCGUAGAUAUGCGGAGGAACACCGAUGGCGAAGGCAAUCCCCUGGGCCUGCACUGACGCUCAUGCACGAAAGCGUGGGGAGCAAACAGG